GACGAACGCUGGCGGCGUGCUUAACACAUGCAAGUCGAACGGUAAGGCCCUUCGGGGUACACGAGUGGCGAACGGGUGAGUAACACGUGGGUGAUCUGCCCUGCACUUCGGGAUAAGCCUGGGAAACUGGGUCUAAUACCGGAUAGGACCACUGCCUGCAUGGGUGGUGGUGGAAAGCUUUUGCGGUGUGGGAUGGGCCCGCGGCCUAUCAGCUUGUUGGUGGGGUGAUGGCCUACCAAGGCGACGACGGGUAGCCGGCCUGAGAGGGGGACCGGACACACUGGGACUGAGAUACGGCCCAGACUCCUACGGGAGGGAGCAGUGGGGAAUAUUGCACAAUGGGCGCAAGCCUGAUGCAGCGACGCCGCGUGAGGGAUGACGGCCUUCGGGUUGUAAACCUCUUUCAGCACCGACGAAGCGCAAGUGACGGUAGGUGCAGAAGAAGGACCGGCCAACUACGUGCCAGCAGCCGCGGUAA
rnacentral:rRNA from 1 species